rfam:Gossypium raimondii Chr07_contig_1098, whole genome shotgun sequence.
UCGUUAAAAUUUUAUUCAUUUGUACGGUUAAAAAUUGGUUUGACUAAUAAAAUAAUCAAACAAUAACAUAUGGCAGGCUAUGUGUACCUUAUGUUAACAUGUAAAGACCAAUUUUUAACAAUAAAAAUAGAUGAAUUUCUUAAGA